rnacentral:rRNA from 1 species
GACGAACGCUGGCGGCGUGCUUAACACAUGCAAGUCGAACGGAAAGGCCCUGCUUUUGUGGGGUGCUCGAGUGGCGAACGGGUGAGUAACACGUGAGUAACCUGCCCUUGACUUUGGGAUAACUUCAGGAAACUGGGGCUAAUACCGGAUAGGAGCUCCUGCUGCAUGGUGGGGGUUGGAAAGUUUCGGCGGUUGGGGAUGGACUCGCGGCUUAUCAGCUUGUUGGUGGGGUAGUGGCUUACCAAGGCUUUGACGGGUAGCCGGCCUGAGAGGGUGACCGGCAAAUUGGGACUGGGGAUACGGCCAGGAUUCUUCGGGGGGGAAGAGGGGGGAAAUAUUGCAAAAGGGGGGAAGGCGUGAUGAAGAAACGCGGCGGGGGGGAUGACGGCUUUGGGGUUGAAAACCGCUUUCGCCUGGGACGAAGCGUGAGUGAGGGUAAUGGGUAAAGAGGAACGGGCAACCUAGGU